rnacentral:rRNA from 1 species
AAUGAACGCUGGCGGCGUGCCUAAUACAUGCAAGUCGAGCGAAGCGGGGACGGGUGAGUAACACGUGGAUAACCUCCUAUAAGACUGGGAUCACGUCGGGAACCCGGAGCUAAACCUGAUGCUUAUAGGUGGAUCCGGGCUGCAGUAGCUAGUGGGUAAGGUAACGGCGUACCAAGGCAACGAUCCAUAGCCGACCUGAGAGGGUAAUCGGCCACACUGGAACUGAGACACGGUCCAGACUCCUACGGGAGGCAGCAUUAGGGAAUCUUCCGCAAUGGGCGAAAGCCUGACGCAGCCACGCCGCGUGAGUGAUGAAGGUCUUCGGAUCGUAAAACUCUUUUAUUAGGGAAGCGUUACCUAAUGAGAAAGCCACGGCUAACUACGUGCCAGCCGCCGCGGUAAUUC